rnacentral:rRNA from 1 species
GACGAACGCUGGCGGCGUGCUUAACACAUGCAAGUCGAGCGGAGCGGCGAACGGGUGAGUAACGCGUGAGUAACUGCCCCCCUCUCUGGGAUAACAGUUGGAAACGGCUGCUAAUACCGGUUAGUGGGGGAUGACUCGCGUCCUAUCCGCUUGUUGGUGGGGUAGUGGCCUACCAAGGCGACGACGGGUAGCCGGCCUGAGAGGGCGACCGGCCACAUUGGGCGAGGAUACGGAGCAAAGGCCUACGGGGCGCAGCAGUGGGGAAUAUUGCAGAAUGGGGGAAGGUCGGAUGCAGCAACGCGGGGGCGGGAUGACGGCGUUCGGGUGGUAAACCGCUUUCAGCCAUGACGCGGUAGUGGCAGAAGAAGCACCGGCUAACUACGUGCCAGCAGCCGCGGUAAUAC